UCAAGGCAGCAUAUUAAGUUGGAAUCUCGUUGUGUUCGGACGUGUUACAAUGUACACAAAUCCUUUUGAACGUAAACAUUCCGUGUUGCGGCAAGCCCUCGAUAAAGUAAUGAGGGGUGAUAUGCGCCUUAGUUUCCGUAAGAAGGACGAUAUGUCAAAGAGAAGUAACGUGUCGGGAAGUACGUCUUCUGUUGCGUCUUCUACGAAUGGGUUCAGAUCGAAGUUCAGCUCGAAGAGGUGAAGGGAGAAAGGUGUUGCGUGGUGCCAGUGAUUUGUUUUGGAGUUACCCACUAUAAUAAAAGGUCUAGUGGUCGCAGUCCGUGGUCUGAAGUAGUGAAGCCAGCAUGGGAUCGGGUCUAACUUUGACACCAGAUUGUAGUAAAAAUUUAAUAAAAUAAUAUAUAAUAUA